rnacentral:pre_miRNA from 14 species
UAACAGCUUUUUAUUGCGUGGUGGCUUGGUGGUCGUAUGUAUGACGUCAUUUACUUGGACUUUUAGGAGUGACAUCAUAUGUACGGCUGCUAAACUGCUGCAUGGGACAUCAUUUAAGCA